CUCCGGUUGAUCCCGCCCGACCCGACUGCUAUCAGAGUGGGACUAAGCCAUGCGAGUCAACAUAGCAAUAUGUGGCAUACGGCUCAGUAACACGUAGUCAACAUGCCCAGGGGACGUGGAUAACCUCGGGAAACUGAGGAUAAACCGCGAUAGGUCAUCACUUCUGGAAUGGGUAAUGACUUAAAUCUAUAUGGCCCCUGGAUUGGACUGCGGCCGAUCAGGCUGUUGGUGAGGUAAUGGCCCACCAAACCUGUAACCGGUACGGGCUCUGAGAGGAGGAGCCCGGAGAUGGGCACUGAGACAAGGGCCCAGGCCCUAUGGGGCGCAGCAGGCGCGAAACCUCUGCAAUAGGCGAAAGCUUGACAGGGUUACUCUGAGUGAUUUCCGUUAAGGAGAUCUUUUGGCACCUCUAAAAAUGGUGCAGAAUAAGGGGUGGGCAAGUCUGGUGUCAGCCGCCGCGGUAAUACCAGCACCCCGAGUGGUCGGGACGUUUAUUGGGCCUAAAGCAUCCGUAGCCGGUUCUACAAGUCUUCCGUUAAAUCCACCUGCUUAACAGAUGGGCUGCGGAAGAUACUAUAGAGCUAGGAGGCGGGAGAGGCAAGCGGUACUCGAUGGGUAGGGGUAAAAUCCGUUGAUCCAUUGAAGACCACCAGUGGCGAAGGCGGCUUGCCAGAACGCGCUCGACGGUGAGGGAUGAAAGCUGGGGGAGCAAACCGGAUUAGAUACCCGGGUAGUCCCAGCUGUAAACGAUGCAGACUCGGUGAUGAGUUGGCUUAUUGCUAACUCAGUGCCGCAGGGAAGCCGUUAAGUUUGCCGCCUGGGGAGUACGGUCGCAAGACUGAAACUUAAAGGAAUUGGCGGGGGAGCA
rnacentral:rRNA from 1 species